rnacentral:rRNA from 1 species
UACGAAGGGGGCUAGCGUUGCUCGGAAUUACUGGGCGUAAAGGGCGCGUAGGCGGCCCUGCAAGUCAGGCGUGAAAUUCCCGGGCUCAACCUGGGGGCUGCGCUUGAGACUGUGGGGCUAGAGGCCGAGAGAGGGUGGUGGAAUUCCCAGUGUAGAGGUGAAAUUCGUAGAUAUUGGGAAGAACACCGGUGGCGAAGGCGGCCACCUGGCUCGGUUCUGACGCUGAGGCGCGACAGCGUGGGGAGCAAACAGG